GUACUGCCUGUGAGCAAAAACAGCCAAAUGAUCACAUUUACUUUUCAAAAUGGCUGUGUUGCUACUCUUCGAACAAGUGGGACAGAACCAAAGAUAAAGUAUUAUGCAGAGAUGUGCGCAUCACCUGGCCAGAGUGACACUGCCUUACUGGAAGAAGAAUUAAAGAAACUCAUUGAUGCUCUGAUAGAGAAUUUUCUUGAACCCAGUAAGAAUGGACUGAUCUGGCGUUCUGUGUAGGGCACAUCAGUACGUUAUGCCUUUGCACUGACAUAUGGAACGAAACCUCCAAGAACUCCACUCAGUGAACCUUGUGUUAGAAUUCUCUCGUCUGCCAAGUUAUCUUUCCCCUUUUCUUUCCUGUGUUCAGCCGGCUAAAUAGAUUAUAUACAUUUGAAAUGAAAAUGUUUGGAUAUGAGUCAAAUAUUUCCAAAAUCUUAAGUGACAGUCAUUACAAUGAAAGUGUUUCAGUGGCUCGCUGUUCCUCCUGUAUCACAAACAAUACAAAAGUGAGUUUUCUUAUUGAACUGUGGUUAAGCUUAGUUAUAUAUCUUGUAAUUGUGUACAGCAUGGUUGAAAGAAGUCAAACAUUACAUAACUAUAGGGUUAGUUAGGACAUUCUUUCUUAAUGGUGUGUGUGUGUGUGGAAGUAUUGUCUUGCCCAGGGUGGGAAAGUUCUGUUGUAGAUAUUGUUUUUCAAAUUAGAAACCUAGCUUGGUGACAUAUUCCUGUUACAGCCUUAGGGGGCUGAGGCAGGAGGAUCAUUAGUUUAUGGCCAGCCUGUUGCACAAUAAUGUUCUGUCUCCACAAAAAAAUAAAAAAGAAAGAAAAGAAAAAAAACUGUAUCUAGGUCAUUUAGGUUUUCUGACUAGGACAGAUGUUGCAGUCUGUGGUUGUGCACCCGUGAUGGAUGUGUCCUUGGCGUGGUGAUCAUUUACGUAUGUAUUUAAGACGAACGUUUACUGAACACAAAACAGUAGUAGCAGCACUCCGAGUGGAUUUACUCUUGUCAAAUUCCUCAGUGCAUUCUCAGGGUCAGGUGUGAACCGAAACGACGUGGAACGUAAUUCCAUCAGUCCAUUUUCAGGUAGUUAAGGAAGAUCUUCCAGACUGUAUAGGCGCUUCCUCUACAGAAAACAGAUCUGUUGACAUCUAGAGAUGGGUGUAGAAAAAGGUCUUAAUGUGGCCUAAUGUGACUGCAGCUGGGUCUUCAUGCUAGGACUUAGUUAUCAUAGCCUGUAAGUGACAAGCUCCGUCCUGUGGCACAAGCAUGGCAUUUAUUCGGCAGUCUUUUU
rnacentral:lncRNA from 1 species